UGCAGUCGAGCGAUGAAGCUUCCUUCGGGAAGUGGAUUAGCGGCGGACGGGUGAGUAACACGUGGGUAACCUGCCUCAAAGUGGGGGAUAGCCUUCCGAAAGGAAGAUUAAUACCGCAUAACAUAAGAGAAUCGCAUGAUUUUCUUAUCAAAGAUUUAUUGCUUUGAGAUGGACCCGCGGCGCAUUAGCUAGUUGGUAAGGUAACGGCUUACCAAGGCAACGAUGCGUAGCCGACCUGAGAGGGUGAUCGGCCACAUUGGAACUGAGACACGGUCCAGACUCCUACGGGAGGCAGCAGUGGGGAAUAUUGCGCAAUGGGGGAAACCCUGACGCAGCAACGCCGCGUGGGUGAUGAAGGUCUUCGGAUUGUAAAGCCCUGUUUUCUGGGACGAUAAUGACGGUACCAGAGGAGGAAGCCACGGCUAACUACGUGCCAGCAGCCGCGGUAAUACGUAGGUGGCGAGCGUUGUCCGGAUUUACUGGGCGUAAAGGGUGCGUAGGCGGAUGUUUAAGUGGGAUGUGAAAUCCCCGGGCUUAACCUGGGGGCUGCAUUCCAAACUGGAUAUCUAGAGUGCAGGAGAGGAAAGCGGAAUUCCUAGUGUAGCGGUGAAAUGCGUAGAGAUUAGGAAGAACACCAGUGGCGAAGGCGGCUUUCUGGACUGUAACUGACGCUGAGGCACGAAAGCGUGGGUAGCAAACAGGAUUAGAUACCCUGGUAGUCCACGCCGUAAACGAUGGAUACUAGGUGUAGGGGGUAUCAACUCCCCCUGUGCCGCAGUUAACACAAUAAGUAUCCCGCCUGGGGAGUACGGUCGCAAGAUUAAAACUCAAAGGAAUUGACGGGGGCCCGCACAAGCAGCGGAGCAUGUGGUUUAAUUUCGAA
rnacentral:rRNA from 1 species